rnacentral:rRNA from 1 species
GACGAACGCUGGCGGCGUGCUUAACACAUGCAAGUCGAACGGUGAACGAGGGAGCUUGCUCCCUCCGGAUCAGUGGCGAACGGGUGAGUAAUACGUGAGCAAUCUGCCCCGAACUCUGGGAUAAGCGUUGGAAACGACGUCUAAUACCGGAUACGACGCGGGAGGGCAUCCUCUCCGCGUGGAAAGAACUUCGGUUCGGGAUGAGCUCGCGGCCUAUCAGCUUGUUGGUGAGGUAACGGCUCACCAAGGCGACGACGGGUAGCCGGCCUGAGAGGGUGACCGGCCACACUGGGACUGAGACACGGCCCAGACUCCUACGGGAGGCAGAAGUGGGGAAUAUUGCACAAUGGGCGCAAGCCUGAUGCAGCAGCGCCGCGUGAGGGACGACGGCCUUCGGGUUGUAAACCUCUUUUAGCAGGGAAGAAGCGAAAGUGACGGUACCUGCAGAAAAAGCACCGGCUAACUACGUG